CAUACCUAAGCAAUGGUAGAGGUCAUAUACUGUAAACUACUCGGCAGUGUCAAUAAUAUAUGGGCCAGAGUCACGAGUCAGAGCCAGGCACACUCAAAAUUUCUUUAGGAAUUUUUUAGUAAGUGUACCUGCAAAGCACACAACUAUUAUUAGUGUGCCUGCAAAGCACACUACUAUUAUUCGCCUUAUUCACCUCGAACGUUCUAAGGAGCUUGAGGGGUACACCUACCACUUCCGGGAAUUCUCGCGUCGCGAUUUCUCUUAGCGGCAAUGGCGCCGCACUGCUAUGUUCCCCAGUGCACUUCGUCACACAGGAAAAAAUCCAACAGAGGACAAACCUUUCCAGAGGAUAAGGGACUACGUCGAGAGUGGAUAAAAAAUAUCAGAAGGGAUCCUGGUCGUAAUUUUAAGGUAAGUUUUCAGAUAGCUGGUGCUUUGAGUCAGUCUCCAUAACUAGCUUGUAUCGCUAACCAGGCUAGCUAGAACUAGCAAGUUUUAGUAACUAGAUAGAUUAAGGCAGAGAGCCAGGUUGUUGACAUUUACCGCCUAGUCCAAAAUUAGUAGUAUGUUAUUUAAAUCUACCACCACAGAUUUACUCGUAUAUAAGUAUAUUCUGAGUGAGCUUGUUUGUAUUAGCUUCUAGUCACUAGCUAGUUAACCUAGGGAACAUCAGUGUUCACAUCAGUGUCCCUAGCUAGGAAGAGGAUGCUCAGGAGUCACGUCGAGUCUGAUCAAUAAAAUUAUUCUUGUAAAAAUAUUUAAACGGUUACAUUUUCUUUAUUGGUGCAGAUAAAAACACACACAAAGGUGUGCUCUGAGCAUUUCCUCCCAGACUGCCUUGUAAAAACCAAGACUGGCAUCACCAAGCUGAAAGAAGGUGCUGUGCCAACUGUGUUUGCAUGGAGUUCGUUCAGACCAGAGAGGAGGAUCGUUGUUAGAACUGCAAGUAAUGUUUCCACGGACAUCGUUGAUGGUGUGAAUGUGUUGAGUGAAGAGACCCCCCCUCCGCACCCAGACCAUGAAUAUGCUGCACUGCCUCCCUCACUUCAAGAUCAACUUGAGGAAGCUCGCAAGACCAUCUGUGAGCAAGAAGUGUUCAUAGCAGAGCUUCAACAAAAACAGUUUAUAGUGUCACAUUUUCAAGGUGAUGAUAAACAGGUAUCAUUUUAUACAGGGUUCCCAGAUUAUGCUACAUUUAAAGCUGUGUUUAUGGCCCUGCAACCUACUGCAGAAAAUAUGGUGGGAUGGAGUCAGGCUCAGCGACUCAAACAUACAAAUGUGGAGGUAAUUCGGCAAGGCUUUAGCGCCUCUAAAUUGUCCACUAUGGACCAGUUUUUUCUUUUUCUUUGCAGGUUGAGGCAGGGAUUUCCUGAGCAGGACCUUGCAACCCGUUUCCAUAUAUCACAGUCAACAGUAAGCAGGAUCUGUGUGACCUGGGUCAGCUUUUUGUACUUUAUGUUGGGAACACUUCCAAUUUGGCCUUCAAGGAAAACUGUGGAUGAGCUUAUGCCAGAUUGUUUUAAAUGCACGUUCCCAGGUACUAGUUAUAUUGGAUUGCACAGAAAUUCAUGUACGGAAACCUAGCUCCAAGGUCCUUAACUCAGUGACUUACUCACACUACAAAGGUAACACCACAUUUAAGGGUCUAAUUGGCAUUGCGCCCUCAGGUGAAGUGACUUUUGUCAGUGACUUAUAUAUAUUUUUUUUCUGUUUUACUUAUAUACAGGCCAUUAGGCGGAAGUGUUACCCAUGACACUGGUUUGCUCCAUUAACCAACUGUGGGCCGUUUGUGCCCUUUUAACUAAUUUCCAAGGUCCUCUCUUUUGAAAACUGUAAUGUUAAUAUCCACAAAUAUAUUCAAACCUUGUUUAAAAAGUGCUAAUCUUUUUAUGAAUAUGUACAAAACCUUAACCAUUAUUAUUGUUCAUUUUUAUGAAUCUAUAUAAAACUCUCACUUUUAUUAUUGUUCAUCUUUACAAAUCUAUAUAACACCUUAACCGUUAUUACCGGUAUUGUUCAUUUUUAUGAAUCUAUACAAAACUCACUUUUAUUGUUCCAUUUUUUUUUACGAAUCUGACGUGGUAAUCACUUCACAUGCUCUUUGAUAUACCGUUUUUUUUUUUAUGUGUGGGAGAUAUGUGUAUGUAUAAGCUACUGGAUCUCCCUCCGAAUGAAUAAAAUGUCCAUUUAUCUAAAGAAUAAAGUACAAUUUUAUUACACAUGUCAUAACAUAUACAUAACAUACACAAACAUAACUUUACAACUUAGUAUACAGGAACCAAAACUGGUCAGAACAUCAGAAAGAGGUAAUUCAAAAACAUUGAUUGGCACACUGGUCUAGGUUUGUAAAGGUAACUUUGUACAUAGUUAUUGGUUUGGAGGAAUACAGUCAAAUGGCCUGCUUGUAAUACUGUAAGUAUGGAAAAAGAACUGGAACAGUUCAGAACAUUAGAAAACAGGCUAUUCAAAACAUUGAUAGGCACACUGGUAUAGGUUUGUAAAGGUAACUUUGUACAUAAAAAUUGGUAUGGGGGAAUACAAAUGGCCUGCUUGUAGAUUGUAAGUAUGGAAAAACGUACCGGAAAAGGUCAGGGGUCUCAUUUA